rnacentral:rRNA from 1 species
UACGUAGGGUGCGAGCGUUGUCCGGAAUUAUUGGGCGUAAAGAGCUCGUAGGCGGUGUGUCACGUCGUUCGUGAAAACCUGCAGCUUAACUGUGGGCGUGCGGUCGAUACGGGCAUCACUGGAGUUCGGCAGGGGAGACUGGAAUUCCUGGUGUAGCGGUGAAAUGCGCAGAUAUCAGGAGGAACACCGGUGGCGAAGGCGGGUCUCUGGGCCGAUACUGAUGCUGAGGAGCGAAAGCGUGGGGAGCAAACAGG